AAAGCUAGCCCACCCAUCAUUCCUCCCCGUAGUCCCUGCAAGUGCAAAUCUAACAUUUGGAACAGAUUAAAAUUCUAUUGAUGGUAAGAGAUACUAAAACAAAUAAGUAGUUUUCUACAAUAGAAGAUGCCAAGAAAUGCAAAUAGAUAAAUGACCAUCCAGAAUGAGGAAUUUUUUACCAUGACUCCUAAGUUAGCCACAUAAGCAAGAAGAUAUCCAAGAGGUACACUAAAAACAUAAUUAGAACACAAAUUAAUGUAAUCCAUGAGACCUUGCUACCCACCUCCAAUAACAAUACCUGAAACAUAAAAGUUGGCUUGAAGAAUAUUAUUUUGAGGACUAUAGAAGAGUAACACUCUCGUAAAUAUAGAAAUAGAAAAAAUUAAUAAAAGAAACACCUGAUAUCACAGGUUGAACACUGUUAAGAACCAUUGUUAAUCCAAGAAACCAAGCAUACUGAGAAACAACUCAUAUAAAAACCUCAUUGCUGGUGAAAAGAAUGGAAAAGGGAUUUCGUACUACUAAUACUACAACCAUGUAGAUUAUCCCAAUGAGAAGUGACUAAAACACUAUCACAUAGAUGCUAUAUUUCGUCGCCCUUAGACGUUCUAGCCCAAGCUCAUUUGAGACCCGAACACUAUGAAAGAAAUAAUAUAUUAACACAUCUAAACACAUAAAUGAAGUGCAUAUUUUUGAAGCUUUAGGAUUUUAUUACCUUAUGGUAGCAUUGACUCCAAUGAAAAACUUUGGUUCCAUCCAUCGAUAUUCAUGCUGAUAGAUGACAACAAAUGACAUGAAUCUUGAGCACACAAAAUUUCAUUUCAUUCACAAAUAAAAUUAAUUAUUAGUUGUUCAAGUAAACUAAAUAUACAUUCUAUGCUCAACUUACCUACCUAACUAGAUGUUAUGCUACAUUUUAAUGAGUUAUACUAUAGACCAUAAAAACUUCAGAUUAGCUUAAGAUAUCACUUGUGCGGUGAGUACUAAAAUUUGUCAUCAUUGGUGUUAAAGUUAAAAUUGCUAGAAGAUAAUAACAAGAUCAUAAAAUUAUUUCAAUUAUGGAUUACCAUUGAUCAAAUUACCUUAGCACUGACACAUACAAUGUCUCAUUAUCCUCUAGGCUCUUGAGAUAAGCUAGAUACAUGAAGCAUAUGCCUCAGAAUUUUUUUUUCAAGUGAAAAUAUUAUUCUCCUCCUUCCAUUAUCAAAUUUAUCACUCAUUAAAUCAGCACCAUCAUCCUUAAAUGUUGAUAGUGACUCAUUGUCCACAACAUCACAAGCAACAACCACUUCAAGGAAUGACAAAAAAUAACUAGCUCUUAUUCCUCUGUAUGGAAAAAUACAAAGAAAAUUAUUCAAUUUAAUAAAGAUUGUUAUGUAUAUUGAAGUUUGAAUUAUUAGAAGACACUAUCUUGUUUUGAUUUGGGCUCAACCUUUCCAUUUCCAAUUAUUUUUUCUUUAGAAAUUAAUACUAUCUUCUAAAGUUUAUCCCUCUAGCACCAUGUCUAUCUUUCUCAACCUCUAAUUGUAGUUACCUUGAUGCUUAGAGUUACGUGUGUGCACACACACAUAGAGUUACAAUUUAUAUAUAUUCAUAGUUAAAGAAAUAUUGAUCAUAUAUCAAAAUACAACAUAUACAGUGUAUCAAGUUGUCCUUCUCAAGAAGAAAAAAGAAAAGAAAAAGAUAGUACUAUUUUCAUCAGUAUUUUGGUCAAUUCGUAUAUGGAUUUAAUGCUGUGAUUUCAAGUUUUUAAAACAUUUUCUAUAGUUCUAAUCUCCCCCUAUACAGAUUGUGAGAUUUAUAGUACUCUAACCCUUAUAACUAACUUUUGAGUUAAAUAAUUAAAAAGAGGAUAUAAUAUAAUACCUCAUGGUUUGCACCAAAAUAAAUGCAUCAGGUGUUUUACCAUCCUUGUUAAGAAUCUCAAGAAGUGCAUCGAUCGACUACCAUGAAGAAAAAAUAUAUGAUUAAACAGAGAAUUGUCAAAUUAUUAAGGUUGUCCAUAGUUACAUGUAUGCGCCUACACAUAUGCCUUUUUUCGUAGAUGUAAUACGAGUGCCAUUCAAGCAUGUGUUCAUUUUAUCCCCUCUCUAUAUCUCAUACAUGUUAAUACGCAUAAGAUUUAAGUCCUAAAAUUAUCUAAAAUAGAGAAUUUGAUAGGGAUAAAUAAGUACAGUAUAUCAUGAGUUUGUUUUGAAAAUGUAUAGUGGAUAAAAUUAUAAUUUGAACACUUCUUUGACAUAACAUAUUAGAAACUAUUUGAUGAAUAAUAACCAGUGCAAGGAAUUAUUCUAACCAUAAGGUUCAUGUACAUGGCUUUGGAAGGUUGAAGGCGUAUCAUAAACUCAUUUCUACCCUGCUUUCGACCUUCAUAAUAUGUCACAUUUACCAUCAUUGAACUUGAUUGAAUAUAUGAUACUUAGCAAUAAAGUCACCAAGGGAAAAAAAUAGAUGACCAAGUGGGUGAAGUUUCAUGUAAAGCAUAACGAGUUGAUGGAAAACUAAUAAUGCAAUAUGGUAUUAAAUAAUCUAGCAAUGCUGAACUUCAACUAGAAGAAUCAAAAACAACAGUCAUAAUUUAACCUAUGAACAUCAAAGUCUAUCCCAAGCUUGUGAUACUAUUAUCUUUUCACCCUUCUUGAUGACUAAUCUAAAGCUCCAGCUCUUCAUAAAAAUUUCUUUUUAAAAGAUAAUCUCUCUUUAUAGAAAUAUUGGAAGGAGCCAAAUUUCAUGUAGAGAAGAUCUCUUUAUAUAUUGUCAAUGGAAGAGGGUUUAUAUUUUAUGUUUCAACUACUUUUAAUAAUGAAAUGACAUGAUUCACAAAUGAAAUCAAAGGGAAUAUGAUUUCGUAUCUAAAAAGAACAAAAAUAACCCAAGUGGCAUCACUUCUUUAGAUACCCUCCUCUUAUCAGUCAGAAAUAGAUCUGUUUCUAGGUCAAGUAAAUUGAUGCAUGCUAAUGGAGGUACAAUUUGGUAUCAUAGGUCAGGAAUGUAGGUUGGAUCUAGGGAGUAGAACAAAAUUGAGGAAAGAAAUUUGUGAAGAAGCCUUUAGCUUCUUCUUGAGUACCAGUCAGACUCACACCUCUUGAAAUCCUCUUUGCUUCAUAAGCAUAUGCCCCAGUCUUAAUCAAUGAUGCUAUCUCCUUCAAAUCUGAAUAAACAAUAAUCACCCAAAAUAGAUCAAAAAAACCAAAACAUUUAGUAAAAAAAACAUACCCAAAAGAUAAAAAUCUAACUUGGGUUAAUUACACCAUAUAAAUCGAUUAUGAAGAGAGUUGUUGUAAAAUUGUACUUAUGGUGGAAUAUAGAAGGGGAUGAAAUUGGAAGAAGGACCUUGCUCUACAAUCUCAACAUCUUUAGUCAACUUCUUUCUUUGUUUGGAUAAGACGAAAUAUGACAGAGAGAUGGUACAGUGAAGUAUUUGGGUGUGAAAGAAGAAAUGAUGAGUAUCCAAAUAAGAAAUCUACCUCGGUGUCUCUAUCAAGUGUACUCCAAUUUGUAACUCCGAUUGAGGGAUUUUGCUAUAGAAAUCUGAUUUUCUAUAAAUUAUAGUUACAAUUUGGAUUGUGGAUUUUCCGAUUUGCUACAGAAAGUGAGAUUUUGAUAUUUUCUAAUUUGCUACUUGAUUUUGAUAUUUUCUAUAGCUCUUUAAAGAGAAAUAUUUUUUUUUUGGUGGACUUAAGUAAAAUAUUGUGGAGGAAAAUU
rnacentral:lncRNA from 1 species